rnacentral:lncRNA from 1 species
UCGAGGUCGUGCAGGGAGUAGGCCUUGAGGACGCGGAAGAGCGCCUGCUGCCCCUGCGCGAAGCCAAACUGGGGGUGCUCUGGGAAGGUGCGGUGGAUGUCGCGCGUGAUGACCUCGUCCACCUCCUCCUGCCCUAUGCUGAUCUGCAGCAGGGUGUUGUACCGCCCGUCCUCCGCGUACUCCGUGCUUAUCGGCCACGUCACA